GACGAACGCUGGCGGCGUGCUUAACACAUGCAAGUCGAACGGAAAGGCCCUGCUUUUGUGGGGUGCUCGAGUGGCGAACGGGUGAGUAACACGUGAGUAACCUGCCCUUGACUGUGGGAUAACUUCAGGGAACUGGGGCUAAUACCGGGUAGGAGCUCCUGCUGCAUGGUGGGGGUUGGAAAGUUUCGGCGGUGGGGGAUGGACUCGCGGCUUAUCAGCUUGUUGGUGGGGUAGUGGCUUACCAAGGCUUUGACGGGUAGCCGGCCUGAGAGGGUGACCGGCCACAUUGGGACUGCGAUACGGCCCAGAAUCGUACGGGAGGCAGCAGUGGGGAAUAUUGCACAAUGGGCGGAAGCCUGAUGCAGCAACGCCGCGUGCGGGAUGACGGCCUUCGGGUUGUAAACCGCUUUCGCCUGUGACGAAGCGUGAGUGACGGUAAUGGGUAAAGAAGCACCGGCUAACUACGUG
rnacentral:rRNA from 1 species